AGCUUUGAAUAUCUGUGCUGCUAACUCUUUCGUUCCCAAGCGGUCGCAUACGACCGCGAGAACAAUAGAUUUCCAAGAAUCCGCGAUCGAAGUA